UUCACACAUCCUUCUCAUCCACCACUCGAACUUUGAUAUCUCAAAGAUUUCAAACAACUUUGAAAGAAUGGCUGAGCUCGAACAGGCAAUAAAGAUCGUCAGGAAAACCUUCAACAAGUACUCUGAAAUUGGAGAGAAAGACGUUUUGACCAAGAGUGAACUUACUCGUAUGCUCUUGAAUGAGCUUACUCUGCCGGCUGAAAGCAAAUCUGAAGUUGAAGCUUACGUCAAAGAGAUGGACGUCAACAGUGACGGUUAUGUUACUUUCCAGGAGUUUGCAAAAUAUCUAGUAGAACUCCUUGUGAUGUAUUCUUCAGAAUAAAUUGUGUGGCCACGUUG